CUGGCUCCUCCCAAAGGAAAAAUAAAAAUCUCAUGAUGUUUUUGAAACACAAAAAUAAAUUAGUAGUUACAGUUAUAUGAGAGAAAAGAUAAAAUAAGAACAGUCUUGUUGACUCUCUACACAAUGAAGGUUACAAACUCUGCUCCCACACUCCACCAAAGGACUGACAGUUACCAUAAGCAUGUUGGGAAAGCCCUUUAUUCCAGCUAGAGAGCUACUAAGUCAGAGAAAUGUGUAAAGCACACCUUUUUAACAGGCUAUCAAUCCCCCAACUAAAUAAGCGUAUUUCAAAUUAUUAGACAAUAUUUUCCAAUUUUGAUUAUUGAAAGAUUAUUGAAGAUUAUUGAAAGCUGGUGACAAGGGGACAUCAGAAUUUAAAUGUGAAUGUUCCACUUUGCAGAAAUGAGCGGUUUCAUUAAUUUUAUACUCUGCAGUACAAAAAUGAAACAGAACCAACAAAGCCUUGAUGAUAGGACUUGACAUUUUAAAAGCAGUAUUUCUGAAAGUGAAAGGGCCCCCAGAAGACCUCUGAUUAGCCAGCUCAUGAUCAAGAAACUCUGGAAUAAAUAACUCUGCAAUUGCCAGGGAAUCUAUAAUUAACUAUGGGUAAGGGAAUUAGAGUUGGAAGUUACUGUGAUAGUUGCAAAGUUUCUGAUAUGAUAAAUGAGGAAGAGGAAUGAAAUUUGAGAAAAUGCUCCAGACCCUAACCAAUCAUCAUUAUUAGUGGCAUCUCAUGUCUGAACUCUAUGAAUAAAGCAAUUCACAAGCUGUGAGGUUAGGGUCUGAUGUACAGUUGAUAGGUUUAUUGUACAUAAUUUAGGAGAUCUUAAAAAGGCAUGAAAAAAAGUUGAUGAAAGAAGUUGCACUGCCUGGGAAAUGGAGACCCAAAUCAAGUUAUAAUUUAACUGACUUUCCAAGUGGGAAGGUAAACCUACAUUUGGAAAUUAGCAUGUCUAAGGAUCACUGUAUCUCAGAGAUUAUUCCUUUUGAGGCAAGAGAAAACAGAUUUCAUUUGCAUUCAUCUAAACAACUCUGGUCAAAACUGCCAUACUAUAUAUUGGAAUUGCCCCUAAAUUAAAGGAAGCAAGGGAAGGGCAAUGGUCCAAAAAAAUGUUCUGAGGUUUAGCCUCUCUCACAGUUGGGAAUUCCCUCAUGCUUUGGGCAGGGGCAGGAAAAACCCAGCGGAGAAGUAGAUCCUGAUCCUGAUCCUGUACUGGCUCCUUGAUUCCCUGAGGCAAGCUGUGAGUGACUGCCAGAACAAUUUACACAGUGCUGCAGCUCUGCCAUGGAUACAACAAAUCACAGGGAAGGAGGGGCGAGGUAGAAGAACAGGUGGAACUCCAAGACAGUCAAAUUAGGGUGCCACAGGGAACCGCAGAGUGUACAGCUGCCAGGAGAAGCUAAGUCUGUAGCACUGCUUGGAAAGCAGGAGACCAGCAGUGAGAUGCCCGAAUUACUUGGAGAUACUAAUCUACUUUCAGCUGAUAUAUUUCUUGGGCAUUCGUCUCUUCAACGUGGAGAACUUGCUGCAAGCAACCUGUUGUAUAUAUUCAGUAAUUAUGGCACUUUCAGGAAAUUGCUGUGUCCUGCAGCAAAGGAUGGAGUGCAGUAUAUGGGCCUCUCCUUUCUUUUGAGGACAUUGUAGCAUGUCAAAAGCAGGCAGCUCUACUGCAGAGCAUGCCUCUCACAGGAGUACAACAGAGCUGAGUCCUUUGUGCUUGUUUGGUAGAAAUUGUGGAUGGUCUUGGACCAAAUGAGACUGUGAGUGGCAGUGCAACAGCAAGAGGAGAAAUGUUAAUGACCAGAACAUGUGGGGACUCAGGGAGAAACACAUAUUUCAACUUCUACUCAAACCUUGUCAUACAGCUGUGUGGUUCUCCUUGUAUCAUGCUCCAUUACAUGCAGAAUCUUAAUGAUCACUGAAGUUUAAAGUAACAAAAAGAAGUUAUAUUCCAUUUUCAAACACAUUUAACUCAAAGGCCAAACCCAACAGCUUCUGAAUUCUAGUGACAAAAUUACAAGAAAGCCCUGUGUGAACUAUGAUGUAGGUAGGAAUGUUUGACUAAAGACAAAGUCUGGGGGUUUUGUUCUCCAAAAGCAAAACAAAGGACUGUGCACUCAAAGUACAAGGAAGUCAGUGAAGCUGAAACCACUGGGGGUGAAGUGUCCACUCAUCCAGCAUUUUCAGAUUUAGAGGACAGGGCAAUUUAGUAAACCCCAGAGAAGAGAAGACAGAAUCAUAGAUGAAUUCUUGCAGAUUAGGAAUCAUGCCUGACUGACUGCAGGAGCAAGAGAAGUAAAACACAGAGCCCCAAACCACUGUCAAAGCUGACAUACUUUUGAGAAGUGACAUAAAAAUCCCAGAGAAAGAGGGACGGGUAUGUGGCUUGGGGGCAUCUACUGUUCUUUCAGAAUAUUGGAAAGGUGCAGAAAAGUCUAGACACCUCAAUCGACUUACUGAAGCAUUUGAUAAAUUUUAUUUUGGGGGACAGUACAUGCAUCUAAUUUUCUGUUGCUUGAACACUCAUAAGCUAUUGGUCAGAAGAGUUUAAAAAGCAAAUUAUGCAGAAGUAGUCCAAGCAAAAUAUUUUUUGACUCCCUUAGCUUUUUUUUUGUGGUGGGUAAAGAAUCAGAAUGUAGUCAGAAUGAGACUAUCAUAAAUCCUUAUUUAACUAAACAUAGGAGCCUUCAUCAAAAAGUAUGAGAUAGAAGAGAAAUUUUAUUUGGUUCCAAGAGAGAAUCUCACUGGGGUAGUUGUCUCCUCGGUCACUACAGCCUAUACUGUAACAACAGGAAUUACUUUUCAGGCUGCUGCACCAUAGCAGAUUUUGACUAGAAUUUGGAGAGGGACAAAUAAUGGGACUGAUCAUGUUCCCAUUAAAAUCUUCCAUAUAAUUUCUACUAUUUCAGAAAAAGUAAAAUCACUUUGAAGACAUCUCUAGUAGCAUUUAAAGAAUUGCUUUCACACCUAGUUCUAUGCCAUUUAAUUCUGUUGAUUGCAGAGGGGCAAUAUACGUUUUUCAGUCUUAAAAAUAAAAACAGAAUCAGGUCAACUUGUCUUUUUUUAAAUUAAUGAUUCAUUGUCUUCGCCUAGGGACUUACCAUAGUUGAGGCCCACAAGCACUGCUGCUAAAGCCACAGCAGAGAGGCAGUGAUUAUGUAUUAGGCCUUUAGGUCCAUGGCAUCAGUAGAUUAUCAAUGCUUCUACCUCCAGAGCUUUCAGACAGACCUUCAUCUCUGGAAAGCACAGUUGCACUUACCCACAUUAUUUUCAAAAUUGAUUUCAAAGGAUUCUGAAAAACAUAAUCUGAACACACAUUUAAUAAGACAUAAAAACAAAUUAAGGCAACUAUUGAAGAAGCAUAUCUGUCUCUGUAGUUAAAGCCUACUAAAUUAAAUUUUAAAGAAUUCACUCAGACUGGAAAUCAUAUCACUGUGUGUGGGCACAGAAGAAGGCUCAGUAAAUUCUGGCUCAGUGGGUGAGUCAGCAUGAGUCAUCAGCAGACAUACCAUCCUAUGGUUAUAUGAAUCCACAAGGUACAUUUAGAAACAUGUCACAGUAACAAAAUAACACCAUCCUCCUGCUUUUUGUCUAGAUGACAACAAUGACAGCCCCGACUUUCCUAAAAUAUUGUAGGAGUUCUCAGCUCAACAUGUGGGGCUAGGAAAAAAAAAAUCCCUCUGUUUUGCUAUUUUCAUUAAGCAAAGCUAACACAGAUAUGAUAAGCUGGUAGGAAAACCUCAGGUUGUAAAUAAAAUCAUUUAGGUAGUUGCAUUACACUGACAAACAACUGAGCAACAUCUGCUUAUCAGGUGGAUUUCUCAUCACUUGAUUGAACCGUGAGGAGGUUUUUUUCCUCUUCCAACCUUAAUUGUUUCCAUCACUCAGAAUUUCAAGUGGGUAAUAAGAUGCUAUGACAAAUGAAGUUAUGUAGCUGACAUCACCAUCUGUGUAAUAAGCAAAAUCGUGUCAAUUUUGUUCUGAAGGAGUUUUUAAUUGUGGCAUUCACUGAAAGACUCUGAAUGCAAACUAGAUGAGCAUUUGUAAGGCUGAAACUAUGGUUGUUUUCUUGUCUUUUACUUGUCUUAAUUUCCAGGGGAAAGUUAAAUUGUGUACUCUGUAUUUCAUUUUCCCCUGAAACAGAUUUAAUUUUCUUCCAGCCUGCCAUUUUAUAUAGGAUAUAUAAUUACCCAAAAUACCCCAACUUGUACAGCAAUACAGGAAAAGCACUCCUUCUCAUAUGAAUUUUUGGAACUUUAAUAUAUAGGUUGUCUUUAAUUUUGCUAAAGAUUAGGGACAUUUCACCAGUCCUAUGUCUGCACUUAGGAUGUAGUGAAUGGACUAGAAUUGCUCAUGGGCAUAUCUAUACACAGCUAUUUGACUGCCUGACCACCUCGCAGCCCAGUCUGGAAACCCAGUUCCCUGCCACGAUUAGUCAUCCACUUGGAUCCCACUUACUGCAGUGAUGCCACACAGAUGCAGCCAGAUUCACAUCAGUUAAUCUAGUUACAGAACAGAGGCCCUGGUUCUAUCAGAUAUGGUAAAAUCUGUGUAAAUAGAAAUGGCUUAACCUCUUGGUUUAGGCUGCAGACCCUUGUUUCUCGCUCUCCCAGCAGCGUGGCAAAUGCAUUCUGAAUUUGUUCUUUCAUUAUUCCAAAGUGAAGAAUGAAGAGUGUUUCCUGGAUUUAUUCCUAUUAUGUUUUUGUUCACCAACUCCUUUCCAGGAUUAUAGUUGUCUCUACAUCAUGUACUUACUAUUUCAGGCAAUUAGUGCUGCUCUUCAUUUGCUAUUAUAUUCUAGUAGGCUUAGUAAAAACUUGGAUUUGUUUGGACUUUUUUUAAUUCUGUGAAUUACGUAUUAACUCCAUCCACUGCAUAAAGGAGGGUACCCUUGGCAGUGCAGCUGACUCUGCCUGUUUUUAUAAGGCUUCAGCCACAGCUGGAACUUUUCUGCUGGGGCCUUGGGCCCCACUGAACGGAGGAGUGAAUGUUGGUGUCAUUAGAACAGGUAACCUUUAGGCACACCGUGCAGAAGAACGCAGGCCCCUUGAAGGCUUUGCAAGAAGCUCUGUGGGCAGAGUGGCUUUUGAGCAUCAAAGGCACCAUAAUGUUGGACUUGGCCUUCCAGGCUGUACGUAGAGCCACAAGGACAAACUCAGAGUCCCAUUUACCAAACUUCAGUGCUGUUUACUCACUGGGCAGGCAGGGUUGCCAAAUCCCCACACACAGCCCAAAGGUUUCAGCACCUAACCCAGGCUGUAAAUGAGAUCAGUUAGCAACAUAUCUGUUAAUGUCCAGCAUGCCACUAAAAAAAGCUCGAAAAGAAAAUCAGAAAUACUUUUCUUCUUUUCUUCAAGCAUGGUCACUCAAUAAUGCUAUUUAGUGAUGGCUUUACUACAAACAUUUUAGUAAAAAUCAAAUCUUGCAGGACAUUGCUGCUUUUUGACUGUAAACAGGGGAGAGUGAAAAAUAUUUUCUCCCAUAAAACUCAUUAUCAUACAUAUACAUAGAUGCAUAUAUAUAUAUAUAUAUAUAUGCAAUACACCCUUAUGCACAUACAUGCAUGUAUCUUUUUGGAAUAUAUUCUCAGCUUGUAGUCUUUCCACAGAGAGUAGAUCGUCAAUCUGCUUCAUAUAUUUUAAGCUGCAUUUUAUACAAAAAUGUAAAGUGGUGUCUAUUUUAGUAAACUCAUUAUCAAAUGUUGCUGGAAGCAACACUCAGUCUUCUGAUAGAUUGCUCUUUCUUCAGUUUUCCUUACAGUUAAAGUGGGUUGAUGAACACUAGAUUAAAUUAUCAAAAACGAGGCAAAAUUCUAAUUUCCUUAUGCUUUCUAUCAGCUAUUGAAAUUAACAUUUUCUGUAAUUUUGGGGAGUUUAUUUCCAAACUUGCUAUGUAUAGGAGAAAUCCACUUUGGUAACCAUACAACAGAUUCAGAACAAAGGAUUUUUCAAAGAUUAUUUAAUAUUUAACUGCAGGAGAUGACAUAACAAACAAUAAUUCUUGAGUUACCUUUGAAAAAGGAUCUCUCUGCCAGCACAGGCCACCACAACCUAGAGGAGGCACAUGGAAUUUCCUUUUCUUUCACCACAAUCUUUCCCAGGAGAAAUAUCAAAACUGGAGUUCACAGACUCACACCUAAAAACUUCCAGUCAUACCUCCAGAGACAGAGCCCUUGUGAGUGAGUAAUCCAGUGAGUAGGCCUGCAAGAGGGAAAACCACAGGUUUAUUUAUCUCCUUUCUGCCCUUCUGCAUUUAAGAGCAAAUCCUUUGGCCACGUGGAAGAGCCACUGUCCCAGCUCAGCAUCUCAUCAGUGGAGGCCCCCAAGUGCUCUGACAAUCUCUGCUCACUCCCAUUGAGGCUGCCUGGAAGGGUGGGAGGGCUUCAUGUCCAGGUUUUUGGUGUAUUUUGGGGUAAGAGCUCACUUCAGCUCCACUGCCAUGGAAUCUGGCCUGCAAAAGCAUCUCAGGACCUCAGUCCCCUUAGCCCACACACAGAGGUGUGAACAGGGAAACUCCAGCUGCCGUGACUGACUAGCAGCAUGACAGUGGAAGUGUUCAAGAAGGCCUACUCCGAGGGGCUGGAAUGCUUUUCCUUAAAAUUCUUUAUAGCCUGUCUAGUGUUCUUCUGAUUAAGUAACUCCUAAAUGCACUUCUGAUGUCACUCUCUGUCUAAAUAGACAGUGGAUGAAUUCAGCUAAGGAAAUGUGUGCUUGUUCUGUAUCCUUGUAUUCUGUGUUCUUGCUGGAAAGGGACUAGUAAAGGCUUUCUAUUUCUAUUCUAGCAACAGGCAGAUUUUCUAAAAUGAAACUGCUGAGUAAUCUUGGUAAUUUUCCAGUACAUGCUGCUUCAUUUAAUAUAGUUUAGGACAUCUUUUUUAUGGCUGUAGCAUUUAGGUAAUCAAACACUGUGAGCUGUGCCAUGCAGACCUACUGAUACAUUUGAUAAAUUGGAUGUCAACAUCAGGCGCAAAAGCUGAUGUUUCAAAUAAAGAAAGAAAGAGAGAAUGAAUGGAAAAAGGAAAAGAGGGAAGUAAGCUCCAGAGAAAAUGA